rnacentral:rRNA from 1 species
GUCUUAACCGGGCGUUAAGUUGCAGGGUAUAGACCCGAAACCCGGUGAUCUAGCCAUGGGCAGGUUGAAGGUUGGGUAACACUAACUGGAGGACCGAACCGACUAAUGUUGAAAAAUUAGCGGAUGACUUGUGGCUGGGGGUGAAAGGCCAAUCAAACCGGGAGAUAGCUGGUUCUCCCCGAAAGCUAUUUAGGUAGCGCCUCGUGAAUUCAUCUCCGGGGGUAGAGCACUGUUUCGGCAAGGGGGUCAUCCCGACUUACCAACCCGAUGCAAACUGCGAAUACCGGAGAAUGUUAUCACGGGAGACACACGGCGGGUGCUAACGUCCGUCGUGAAGAGGGAAACAACCCAGACCGCCAGCUAAGGUCCCAAAGUCAUGGUUAAGUGGGAAACGAUGUGGGAAGGCCCAGACAGCCAGGAUGUUGGCUUAGAAGCAGCCAUCAUUUAAAGAAAGCGUAAUAGCUCACUGGUCGAGUCGGCCUGCGCGGAAGAUGUAACGGGGCUAAACCAUGCACCGAAGCUGCGGCAGCGACACUGUGUGUUGUUGGGUAGGGGAGCGUUCUGUAAGCCUGUGAAGGUGUACUGUGAGGUAUGCUGGAGGUAUCAGAAGUGCGAAUGCUGACAUAAGUAACGAUAAAGCGGGUGAAAAGCCCGCUCGCCGGAAGACCAAGGGUUCCUGUCCAACGUUAAUCGGGGCAGGGUGAGUCGACCCCUAAGGCGAGGCCGAAAGGCGUAGUCGAUGGGAAACAGGUUAAUAUUCCUGUACUUGGUGUUACUGCGAAGGGGGGACGGAGAAGGCUAUGUUGGCCGGGCGACGGUUGUCCCGGUUUAAGCGUGUAGGCUGGUUUUCCAGGCAAAUCCGGAAAAUCAAGGCUGAGGCGUGAUGACGAGGCACUACGGUGCUGAAGCAACAAAUGCCCUGCUUCCAGGAAAAGCCUCUAAGCAUCAGGUAACAUCAAAUCGUACCCCAAACCGACACAGGUGGUCAGGUAGAGAAUACCAAGGCGCUUGAGAGAACUCGGGUGAAGGAACUAGGCAAAAUGGUGCCGUAACUUCGGGAGAAGGCACGCUGAUAUGUAGGUGAAGUCCCUCGCGGAUGGAGCUGAAAUCAGUCGAAGAUACCAGCUGGCUGCAACUGUUUAUUAAAAACACAGCACUGUGCAAACACGAAAGUGGACGUAUACGGUGUGACGCCUGCCCGGUGCCGGAAGGUUAAUUGAUGGGGUCAGCGCAAGCGAAGCUCUUGAUCGAAGCCCCGGUAAACGGCGGCCGUAACUAUAACGGUCCUAAGGUAGCGAAAUUCCUUGUCGGGUAAGUUCCGACCUGCACGAAUGGCGUAAUGAUGGCCAGGCUGUCUCCACCCGAGACUCAGUGAAAUUGAACUCGCUGUGAAGAUGCAGUGUACCCGCGGCAAGACGGAAAGACCCCGUGAACCUUUACUAUAGCUUGACACUGAACAUUGAGCCUUGAUGUGUAGGAUAGGUGGGAGGCUUUGAAGUGUGGACGCCAGUCUGCAUGGAGCCGACCUUGAAAUACCACCCUUUAAUGUUUGAUGUUCUAACGUGGACCCGUGAUCCGGGUUGCGGACAGUGUCUGGUGGGUAGUUUGACUGGGGCGGUCUCCUCCUAAAGAGUAACGGAGGAGCACGAAGGUUGGCUAAUCCUGGUCGGACAUCAGGAGGUUAGUGCAAUGGCAUAAGCCAGCUUGACUGCGAGCGUGACGGCGCGAGCAGGUGCGAAAGCAGGUCAUAGUGAUCCGGUGGUUCUGAAUGGAAGGGCCAUCGCUCAACGGAUAAAAGGUACUCCGGGGAUAACAGGCUGAUACCGCCCAAGAGUUCAUAUCGACGGCGGUGUUUGGCACCUCGAUGUCGGCUCAUCACAUCCUGGGGCUGAAGUAGGUCCCAAGGGUAUGGCUGUUCGCCAUUUAAAGUGGUACGCGAGCUGGGUUUAGAACGUCGUGAGACAGUUCGGUCCCUAUCUGCCGUGGGCGCUGGAGAACUGAGGGGGGCUGCUCCUAGUACGAGAGGACCGGAGUGGACGCAUCACUGGUGUUCGGGUUGUCAUGCCAAUGGCACUGCCCGGUAGCUAAAUGCGGAAGAGAUAAGUGCUGAAAGCAUCUAAGCACGAAACUUGCCCCGAGAUGAGUUCUCCCUGACCCUUUAAGGGUCCUGAAGGAACGUUGAAGACGACGACGUUGAUAGGCCGGGUGUGUAAGCGCAGCGAUGCGUUGAGCUAACCGGUACUAAUGAACCGUGAGGCUUAACCUUACAACGCCGAAGGUGUUU